AGAAUCAACGCUGGCGGCGUGCCUAACACAUGCAAGUCGAACGAGAAAGUGGAGCAAUCCAUGAGUACAGUGGCGACCGGGUGAGUAACACGUGACUACCUACCCUUGAGUGGGGGAUAACCUCGGGAAACCGAGGCUAAUACCGCAUAAUAUCGAGAGAUCAAAGGAGUAAUCCGCUUUUGGAGGGGGUCGCGGCUGAUUAGCUAGUUGGUAGGGUAAUGGCCUACAAAGGCGAAGAUCGGUAUCCGGCCUGAGAGGGCGCACGGACACACUGGAACUGAAACACGGUCCAGACUCCUACGGGAGGCAGCAGUGGGGAAUUUUGCGCAAUGGGGGAAACCCUGACGCAGCAACGCCGCGUGGAGGAUGAAGCCCCUUGGGGUGUAAACUCCUUCGACUGGGAAAAUAAUGAUGGUACCGGUGGAAGAAGCACCGGCUAACUCUGCGCCAGCAGCCGC
rnacentral:rRNA from 1 species